UUCCUGUUUGCUUUUAUAACAGACGAAUAUUGAGAAACGCAGAGAGCAGCGUGUGCUUACCGUGUGCUUAUUUUAUACAGUCUGUGGUGCUUACUUUGGAAGAGGUCGUUUAUCCUUGAGAUUGAGACGGAGAACAGCAACAUGGUCUGACUGUUGAUCAAAGCUAGCAUCUAUGUGGUCCGGAAGAUCCGGGCUUCCAUUGCUGAGGGGGAGCAAUUGGAAAAGCCUAUCAUAACACCAUGUAGUGCUAAAGCUGUAAUGAAUGCAGGAAAUGAGGCGAAAGGGAACCCCCCGGUGAUCGUGAUGAGCUCAGGAUCUGAAGAAGGAGUUGGUGGAGCAGCAGCAGCCUCCGGGAUGUCCUCAGGGACAGCUGUGGAGAAAUGUGGAUCCUGACGCUAGAGGACACUGGGACUGUGGUCACCUCAGUGGGAAAAUACAAUUUGUCAUCUUUGUAUUUUUGCAUUACAGAUCAGCAAUUAUGAAGGAUUCCACUCAUAUACGAGACAUUGUACAUCCACUGAUCUACAACAUAAAAAAACUCUUUUGGAUGACAUUUAAGAAACAUCAUAAUGCUGCUGUGUGGUGUCCAUAUCCCCCUUGGUGGCCAGCAUCCUGCUUGUUCUUACAUGUUCAUAAGGCUUUUUUUUUUAAACAGGGAACAUUUAAACUAACCUUAAUAAAAUAGAACAGCUGCUAAAUAAAUAGAUAAAUACAAUAACAUUAACAUUAACAAUCUGUAUUGCCAAUUUUGGUGUUCUAGUGGGAUGCAAAUUGGUAUAUGCAUCUAAAUGUGAUAACAGACAUUUAUAGUAUGACGUUUAUUUGCUUAGUCAGAAUGUUCUCUGUAAAAAAAAAAAGCCCUGUAUUUAUUUACUGCAGUGUUUGAAGGCUGACUCACAAACCUCUCUCAAGGGGCUGAGCAGGCCUGAUGUCUUUGAUGCAGUAUCAAUAAAUAAAAACAGAAAAAAUAA